rnacentral:rRNA from 2 species
UACGUAGGGAGCAAGCGUUGUUCGGAUUUACUGGGCGUAAAGGGCGCGUAGGCGGCGCGGUAAGUCACUUGUGAAAUCUCUGAGCUUAACUCAGAACGGCCAAGUGAUACUGCAGUGCUAGAGUGCAGAAGGGGCAAUCGGAAUUCUUGGUGUAGCGGUGAAAUGCGUAGAUAUCAAGAGGAACACCUGAGGUGAAGACGGGUUGCUGGGCUGACACUGACGCUGAGUGCGCGAAAGCCAGGGGAGCAAACGGG